rnacentral:rRNA from 7 species
GCUGUCGUCAGCUCGUGUUGUGAAAUGUUGGGUUAAGUCCCGCAACGAGCGCAACCCUUAUCCUUUGUUGCCAGCGGUCCGGCCGGGAACUCAAAGGAGACUGCCAGUGAUAAACUGGAGGAAGGUGGGGAUGACGUCAAGUCAUCAUGGCCCUUACGACCAGGGCUACACACGUGCUACAAUGGCGCAUACAAAGAGAAGCGACCUCGCGAGAGCAAGCGGACCUCAUAAAGUGCGUCGUAGUCCGGAUUGGAGUCUGCAACUCGACUCCAUGAAGUCGGAAUCGCUAGUAAUCGUGGAUCAGAAUGCCACGGUGAAUACGUUCCCGGGCCUUGUACACACCGCCCGUCACACCAUGGGAGUGGGUUGCAAAAGAAGUAGGUAGCUUAACCUUCGGGAGGGCGCUUACCACUUUGUGAUUCAUGACUGGGGUGAAGUCGUAACAAGGUAACCGUAGGGGAACCUGCGGUUGGAUCACCUCCUU